rnacentral:ncRNA from 2 species
AAUGACAACAAACUCCCAAGCCUUGCGCGCCUAAGUCAAAUGAUAGGGCCGCCUGGCCGCAGCGUCAUGCUGCCAGGGUGCAGAAAGAAAUGCCUGCAUCUCCCGACUUUGGAAAGGUGUUAAGGUGCCACAAUU